UACGUAGGUGGCGAGCGUUGUCUGGAUUUACUGGGCGUAAAGAGCGCGCAGGCGGUCGUUCAAGUCGCGUGUGAAAGCCCCCGGCUCAACUGGGGAGGGUCACGCGAUACUGAUCGACUCGAAGGCAGGAGAGGGAAGUGGAAUUCCCGGUGUAGUGGUGAAAUGCGUAGAUAUCGGGAGGAACACCAGUGGCGAAGGCGACUUCCUGGCCUGUUCUUGACGCUGAGGCGCGAAAGCUAGGGGAGCAAACGGG
rnacentral:rRNA from 1 species